rnacentral:rRNA from 1 species
UACGUAGGGUGCGAGCGUUGUCCGGAAUUACUGGGCGUAAAGAGCUUGUAGGCGGCUUGUCGCGUCGAAUGUGAAAACUCGGGGCUCAACUCCGAGCUUGCAUUCGAUACGGGCAGGCUAGAGUUCGGUAGGGGAGACUGGAAUUCCUGGUGUAGCGGUGAAAUGCGCAGAUAUCAGGAGGAACACCGGUGGCGAAGGCGGGUCUCUGGGCCGAUACUGACGCUGAGGAAGCGAAAGGCGUGGGGAGCGAACAGG